rnacentral:lncRNA from 1 species
CUGAAUUUCUGUUAGGAGCAAAUCUUCUGGGUCCAUCUGGACUUGCACGUCAUCCAUGCCUUAUUCAGCCCAAGAGCCCAGAUAAGAGCUAAAGGAGAGAUUGGAGGUGAUCUCUUUCUCACUCCUCUACAAUUACAAAAUCUGAGAGUCAAGAAGGUUUGGAAGGAGACUGCUGCAAAUAACUCUUCCGUGAGAAGUUGGGGGGUUUGCAUCAUGGAAUUUAUAUAGACAAUUUCUGCAAAUAUCCCUUCAAUGUCAAGCCAACAAAGUAAAAUGUCAAGGGCCUACAUCUUAAGAGGGGGCUAGUUUUUAGGAUAAUUUUUCUAACAGUCUUUUGAGAUUUAUUCCUGUUUUCAUUUUGAGCAAAAUGAUUUCAAAACAUGACAUUAAAAAGUAC